GCCGGAGUGGCGAAAUCGGUAGACGCAGGGGACUUAAAAUCCCCCGGUGUAAGCCGUCCGGGUUCGAAUCCCGGCUCCGGCA
rnacentral:tRNA from 1 species